CUUGUACUCCCUCCAUCCGAAAAUACUUGUCAUUGAAAUGGAUGUAUCUAGAUGUAUUUUAGUUCUAGACACAUCCAUUUUGAUGACAAGUAAUUCUGGACGGAGGGAGUACUUG
rfam:Triticum aestivum genome assembly, contig: Triticum_aestivum_CS42_TGACv1_scaffold_548363_6DS